rnacentral:rRNA from 1 species
CAGUAGCCGCGGUAAUACGAGGGGGGCAAGCGUUGUUCGGAAUUAUUGGGCGUAAAGGGUGCGUAGGCGGUUUGGCAAGUUUGGUGUGAAAUCUUCGGGCUCAACUCGAAGUCUGCAUCGAAAACUGCCGGGCUUGAGUAUGGGAGAGGUGAGUGGAAUUUCCGGUGUAGCGGUGAAAUGCAUAGAUAUUACUUAGAACACCAAUUGCGAAGGCAGGUCACUAAGAUUUAACUGACGCUGAUGGACGAAAGCGUGGGGAGCGAACAGGAUUAGAUACCCCCGUAGUCCCUGUCUCUUAUAC